GGACGGGGCACUACAAAGAGGUCUGCGAUUGGCCUAUGCCAGAGAGGUCCACGCUGCAGCGUUGGAAGAUGAGACAGCACAAGGACACAACAGUUCAACCAGAUCACGACCACGGGGCAAGGAGGUGCUUUGCGGCUUGCUCCAGUCACUCUGUGAAGUGACUGCGGCUGGAGCACUCUACAUGCAGCUGUGCUCAUUUUUCUCUCUUCCCCACCGAUCUGGAUCCCUAAAGGUACCAUUGGAUAUUGGAAACAACCGACUGAAGCUCUCCAGACCUCAGGUUCCCCAUUCAUACUAUGGAGUUAACAAGAUUAUCUAUAUCUAAUGGACCAAGAUGGCUCAGGGGGUAAAAGUGACUGAUGUCAACCCUGAUGACCUGUCAGAGUUGGAUUUUUCAGACUCAUGCGGUGGACGGAGAGAACUGACUACAGUAAGCUGGUCUCUGGCUCCUUGCAUGCGCCAUGACAUGUGCACACUCACCCAGACACACAAUCGCACG